AGGCGGGCUGGAAUCUCUCGGGGUUACAGCCUUGCUGAAUUAUUCACCCUUGUCUUUUGCGUACUUCUUGUUUCCUUGGUGGGUUCGCCCACCACUAGGACAAACAUAAACCUUUUGUAAUUGCAAUCAGCGUCAGUAACAAAUUAAUAAUUACAACUUUCAACAACGGAUCUCUUGGUUCUGGCAUCGAUGAAGAACGCAGCGAAAUGCGAUAAGUAGUGUGAAUUGCAGAAUUCAGUGAAUCAUCGAAUCUUUGAACGCACAUUGCGCCCUUUGGUAUUCCAAAGGGCAUGCCUGUUCGAGCGUCAUUUGUACCCUCAAGCUUUGCUUGGUGUUGGGCGUCUUGUCUCUAGCUUUGCUGGAGACUCGCCUUAAAGUAAUUGGCAGCCGGCCUACUGGUUUCGGAGCGCAGCACAAGUCGCACUCUCUAUCAGCAAAGGUCUAGCAUCCAUUAAGCCUUUUUUCAACUUUUGACCUCGGAUCAGGUAGGGAUACCCGCUGAACU
rnacentral:rRNA from 1 species